GCGCCCGUAGCUCAGUGAACUAGAGCAUCUGACUUCGGAUCAGAGGGUCGGGGGUUUGAAUCCCUCCGGGCGCGCCA
rnacentral:tRNA from 1 species